rnacentral:tRNA from 1 species
GCCGUCGUAGCUCAGUCGGUAGAGCGUGUGGCUGUUAACCACAAGGCCGGCGGUUCGAGCCCGCCCGACGGCGCCA